UAGGGAAUCUUCGGCAAUGGGGGGAACCCUGACCGAGCAACGCCGCGUGAGUGAAGAAGGUUUUCGGAUCGUAAAGCUCUGUUGUUAAGGAAGAACGAGUGUGAGAAUGGAAAGUUCAUGCUGUGACGGUACUUAACCAGCAAGGGACGGCUAACUACGUUCCAGCAGCCGCGGUAAUACGUAGGUCCCGAGCGUUGUCCGGAUUUAUUGGGCGUAAAGCGAGCGCAGGCGGUUAGAAAAGUCUGAAGUGAAAGGCAGUGGCUCAACCAUUGUAGGCUUUGGAAACUGUUUAACUUGAGAGCAGAAGGGGAGAGUGGAAUUCCAUGUGUAGCGGUGAAAUGCGUAGAUAUAUGAAGGAACACCGGUGGCGAAAGCGGCUCUCUGGUCUGUAACUGACGCUGAGGCUCGAAAGCGUGGGGAGCGAACAGG
rnacentral:rRNA from 1 species